GGAGCAAGCCACCUUAGUGGUGGGGUUUGCACUCUAGGGUCAGGAAUACACGUUUGUGUUCCUGACCCUAUAGUAUUCCUUUAAGCACAAAUUACACUGUAAAACACAACUCGGAAAACUCUCAGUUUGCCUCAUUACUGCCCACAUCUGGGGACACUGGGGAUGGUUAGAUGGGUGGAUUUAUAGAUGAAUGAGUAAAUAGACGGAUGAAUGGAUGGACAGAUAGACGCACAGAAG